rnacentral:snoRNA from 1 species
AAGACUAUACUUUCAGGGAUCAUUUCUAUGAUUUGUUACUAGAGAAGUUUCUCUGAAUGCAUAGAGCACCUGCAACCAUGAGGAGGAGAUGUAGGAAAAAGAAAAAAAGAAGAAGAAGAAGAAGAGGA